rnacentral:rRNA from 1 species
GAUGAACGCUGGCGGCGUGCCUAAUACAUGCAAGUCGAGCGAACAGACGAGGAGCUUGCUCCUCUGACGUUAGCGGCGGACGGGUGAGUAACACGUGGAUAACCUACCUAUAAGACUGGGAUAACUUCGGGAAACCGGAGCUAAUACCGGAUAAUAUAUUGAACCGCAUGGUUCAAUAGUGAAAGACGGUUUUGCUGUCACUUAUAGAUGGAUCCGCGCCGCAUUAGCUAGUUGGUAAGGUAACGGCUUACCAAGGCAACGAUGCGUAGCCGACCUGAGAGGGUGAUCCGCCACACUGGAACUGAGACACGGUCCAGACUCCUACGGGAGGCAGCAGUAGGGAAUCUUCCGCAAUGGGCGAAAGCCUGACGGAGCAACGCCGCGUGAGUGAUGAAGGUCUUCGGAUCGUAAAACUCUGUUAUUAGGGAAGAACAAAUGCGUAAGUAACUAUGCACGUCUUGACGGUACCUAAUCAGAAAGCCACGGCUAACUACGUG